rnacentral:rRNA from 1 species
AACGCUAGCUACAGGCUUAACACAUGCAAGUCGAGGGGCAGCAUAGAAGUGGCAAUACUUUGGUGGCGACCGGCGCACGGGUGAGUAACGCGUAUGCAACCUACCUAUCAGAGGGGAAUAACCCGGCGAAAGUCGGACUAAUACCGCAUAAAACAGGGGCACCGCAUGGUGAUAUUUGUUAAAGAAAUUCGCUGAUAGAUGGGCAUGCGUUCCAUUAGGUAGUUGGUGAGGUAACGGCUCACCAAGCCGACGAUGGAUAGGGGAACUGAGAGGUUGGUCCCCCACACUGGUACUGAGACACGGACCAGACUCCUACGGGAGGCAGCAGUGAGGAAUAUUGGUCAAUGGGCGGGAGCCUGAACCAGCCAAGUCGCGUGAAGGAAGAAGGAUCUAUGGUUCGUAAACUUCUUUUGCAGGGGAAUAAAGUGCAGGACGUGUCCUGUUUUGUAUGUACCCUGAGAAUAAGGAUCGGCUAACUCCGUGCCAGCAGCCGCGGUAAUACGGAGGAUCCGAGCGUUAUCCGGAUUUAUUGGGUUUAAAGGGUGCGUAGGUGGUUUGAUAAGUCAGCGGUGAAAGUUUGCAGCUUAACUGUAAAAAUGCCGUUGAAACUGUCGGACUUGAGUGUAAAUGAGGUAGGCGGAAUGCGUGGUGUAGCGGUGAAAUGCAUAGAUAUCACGAAGAACUCCGAUUG